AACGUAGGUUCCGAGCGUUAUCCGGAUUUACUGGGCGUAAAGCGCGCGUAGGUGGCCCUGUAAGUCCGUUGUGAAAGUCAAAGGCUCAACCUUUGAAAGCCGAUGGAUACUGCAGGACUAGAGUACGGAAGAGGCGGAGUGGAAUUCCUGGGUGUAGCGGUGGAAUGCGCAGAUAUCAGGAGGAACACCAAUAGCGAAGGCAGCUCGCUGGGACGUUACUGACACUGAGGCGCGAAAGCGUGGGGGAGCGAACAGG
rnacentral:rRNA from 1 species